AAUGGUGAGCGGUUGUUCCCUCAUCUGUCGGUGGGCCAGCGGGGAGGAAAUGGCGGGGCCGGGCGGUGAAGUGACAAUGAAUGAGCGAGGGAAAGAAAGCACGUAAAUACAUACCUACCUUACCGUG
rnacentral:SRP_RNA from 1 species